rnacentral:rRNA from 1 species
AUUGAACGCUGGCGGCAGGCCUAACACAUGCAAGUCGAGCGGAUGAAGGGAGCUUGCUCCUGGAUUCAGCGGCGGACGGGUGAGUAAUGCCUAGGAAUCUGCCUGGUAGUGGGGGAUAACGUCCGGAAACGGGCGCUAAUACCGCAUACGUCCUGAGGGAGAAAGUGGGGGAUCUUCGGACCUCACGCUAUCAGAUGAGCCUAGGUCGGAUUAGCUAGUUGGUGGGGUAAAUGCCUACCAAGGCGACGAUCCGUAACUGGUCUGAGAGGAUGAUCAGUCACACUGGAACUGAGACACGGUCCAGACUCCUACGGGAGGCAGCAGUGGGGAAUAUUGGACAAUGGGCGAAAGCCUGAUCCAGCCAUGCCGCGUGUGUGAAGAAGGUCUUCGGAUUGUAAAGCACCUUAAGUUGGGAGGAAGGGCAGUAAGUUAAUACCUUGCUGUUUUGACGUUACCAACAGAAUAAGCACCGGCUAACUUCGUG